AGUGGCGGACGGCUGAGUAACACGUGGGUGACCUACCUCCGAGCGGGGGAUAACUGCCCGAAAGGGUAGCUAAUACCGCAGACGUCAAUGGAGCAUACCGUUGACUAAACUCGCAAGGGGCUUGGAGAGGGGCCCGCGGCCGAUUAGCUUGUUGGUGGGGUAACGGCCUACCAAGGCGACNAUCGGUAGCUGGUCUAAGAGGAUGAUCAGCCAGACUGGGACUGCGACACGGCCCAGACUCCUACGGGAGGCAGCAGUUAGGAAUUUUGGGCAAUGGGGGAAACCCUGACCCAGCAACACCGCGUGGGUGACGAAGGCCUUCGGGUUGUAAAGCCCUUUUCCAGGGGAAGAUAGUGACGGUACCCUGGGAAUAAGCCCCGGCUAACUACGUGCCAGCAGCCGCGGUAAUACGUAGGGGGCAAGCGUUGUCCGGAUUUAUUGGGCGUAAAGCGCUCGCAGGCGGCCUGACCAAGUCGUGCGUGAAAUCUCUCGGCUCAACUGAGAGCGGUCGUGCGAUACUGGUCGGCUCGAGGCCGGUAGGGGGGAGUGGAAUUCCGGGUGUAGUGGUGGAAUGCGUAGAUAUCCGGAGGAACACCAGUGGCGAAGGCGGCUCCCUGGACCGGUCCUGACGCUCAGGAGCGAAAGCGUGGGUAGCGAUCCGGAUUAGAUACCCGGGUAGUCCACGCCGUAAACGAUGAGCACUAGGUGUGGGGUAUCGACCCCC
rnacentral:rRNA from 1 species